rnacentral:rRNA from 1 species
CCUACGGGGGGCAGCAGUGGGGAAUAUUGGACAAUGGGGGGAACCCUGAACCAGCGACGCCGCGUGAGUGAAGAAGUAUUUCGGUAUGUAAAGCUCUAUCAGCAGGGAAGCAAGAAAUGACGCUACCUGACUAAGAAGCCCCGGCUAACUACGUGCCAGCAGCCGCUGUAAUACGGAGGGGGCAAGCUUUAUCCGGAUUUACGGGGUGUAAAGGUUGCGUAGACGGCGAUGCAAGUCUGAAGUGAAAUGCGGGGGCCCAACCCCCGGACUGCUUUGGAAACUGUAUGGCUGGAGGGCAGGAGAGGUAAGUGGAAUUCCUAGUGUAGCGGUGAAAUGCGUAGAUAUUAGGAGGAACACCAGUGGCGAAGGCGGCUUACUGGACUGUAACUGACGUUGAGGCUCGAAAGCGUGGGGAGCAAACAGGAUUAGAUACCCUAGUAGUC